AUGGUGGUGGAGGGAUACGAAACGGACAAGAACAUCGAGAUAUGGAAGGUGAAGAAGCUGAUCAAGGGGCUGGACGCGGCGAGGGGCAACGGCACGAGCAUGAUCUCGCUCAUCAUGCCGCCGCGCGACCAGGUCUCCCGGGUGGCCAAGAUGCUGGGCGACGAGUACGGGACCGCCUCCAACAUCAAGAGCCGGGUGAACCGCCAGUCCGUGCUGGCCGCCAUAACCUCUGCCCAGCAGAGGCUCAAGCUCUACAACCGGGUGCCCCCCAACGGCCUCGUGCUCUACACCGGCACCGUCGUCACCGACGACGGCAAGGAGAAGAAGGUCACCUUCGACUUCGAGCCCUUCCGGCCCAUCAACGCGUCGCUCUACCUCUGCGACAACAAGUUCCACACCGAGGCGCUGAACGAGCUCCUCGAGUCCGACGACAAGUUCGGCUUCAUCAUCAUGGACGGCAACGGCACGCUCUACGGCACGCUGAGCGGCAACAGCAGGGAGGUCGUGUACAAGUUCAGCGUGGACCUGCCCAAGAAGCACGGGCGGGGAGGGCAGUCCGCGCUCCGCUUCGCGCGCCUGCGCAUGGAGAAGCGGCACAACUACCUGCGCAAGGCGGCCGAGCUCGCCACGCACUUCUUCAUCAACCCUGCCACCAACCAGCCCAACGUCGUCGGGCUCAUCCUGGCCGGCUCCGCCGAUUUCAAGACCGAGCUGGGCAAGUCCGAGAUGUUCGAUCAGCGGCUGCAGGCCAAGAUAAUCAAGUCGGUCGACGUGUCGUACGGCGGCGAGAGCGGCUUCAACCAGGCCAUUGAGAUGUCUGUGGAGGUCCUCUCCGAGGUCAAGUUCGUCCAGGAGAAGAAGCUCCUUGGGAAGUACUUCGAGGAGAUAAGCCAGGACACCGGGAAGUACGUCCUCGGCGUGCAGGACACCAUGGCGGCCCUCGAGAUGGGCGCGGUCCACACGCUGAUCGUGUGGGAGAACCUCGACGUCAGGCGGUACGAGCUGAAGAACUCCGCCACGGGGGAGACGAUGGUGAAGUACCUCAACGGCGGCCAGGAGGCGGACCAGAGCAACUUCGUCGACGAGGCGACGUGCGGGGAGCUGGAUGUUGUUGACAGGGUGCUGCUGCUGGAGUGGUUCGCCGAGAACUACCAGCAGUACGGCUGCAAGCUGGAGUUCGUCACCAACAGGUCCCAGGAAGGAUCGCAGUUCUGCCGGGGCUUCGGCGGCAUCGGCGGGAUCCUCCGCUACCCGGCGGACGUCGCCGCCUACGACGACGAAGACGACAUGCUGGAUGACGACGUCUAUGAAGGCCUCGAAUAG
rnacentral:rRNA from 1 species